ensembl:snRNA U6 U6 spliceosomal RNA
GUGCUCACUUUGGCAGCACAUAUACUGUAAUUGGAAACAUACAGAGAAGAUUAGCAUGGCCUCUGGGCAAGGAUGACAUGCAAAUUCAUGAAACAUUACAUAUUUUU